UAUCUGAUCAGCAGAUGGUGUUCUUAUACCUUGCUUGUACAAGCUUUCAAGCAAAUUUAUCUGUUCCUUUGUGGGAUUCCAUCGUGAGUUCACUUGACCUCCACCAGGACCACCACCCAUGUCGAUAUUUUCUGUCUGCAUAUAUCUUUUUUUCUAUAUGGAGUUUCAAAAAGCAAUAAGGGUUUUAUAGAAGAGAGUCUCUAAAGAAAGAGGGAAGAAGAUGAAUGCUUUAGGCCUUUGGAAUACCUUUUGCAUGGCUUUUACUCUAUCUCCCUUUAUAGGGGUAGAUAUGGAGAGUCAAAAUCUAGAGUUGAGGCAGAGAGAGAGAGGUUUUGAGUUUGACAUGCGUAUUGUUUUUGGUGCAGAGCAUCUCUGAAAACAUGGUGAGCAGCGGCUAAAGGAGGCUUCAGCUUUGGUUUCAUCUUCUUUGGUAAACUGAAAUAAUCAAUUGUAUUGAAUCGAAUCAAUUCAUAAAUUUAAUUUGAUUUUAAAUUUUUUCAAAUCAGUUCAAUUUUAAUUUUUUAAAAAUUAAUAAUUUAAUUUGAUUUAAUUUUUUUAAUAAUUAUCAAAAUUAUAUAUUAAAUCUUAAUUGAAAUUAACAUAUUUUAAUUGAAUCAUAAAAUAUUUAAUAUAAAAAAUAAAAAGUUUAUUUAAAAAAUUCAAUUGAGUCAAUACAAUUUAAAUUAAUUUUUUCAAUUUAAUUUAAUUUUUAUAAAUAUUUAAAUUUUAAUUCGAUUUUGAUUCUGUCUCACUCCUAUCUUUGGUUAAAAAACGAGGAGAAGGCAGAAAGACAAAGAUGACCCUGAAACAGUUUAAUGUCUUUUGAUUUGAUUUGGUUUAUAAUGGCAGUGGAGAUUUGUUGGCUAAUGGUUGUGUCUCGGGAAUGACAGAGACCAGAGUGGGAAGGGAUAGGUUACGCCAUUGAAGGAAAGGAAGGGUAAAAAGGUAAAAUGAGAACAAAACGACAGCCGGUUGGGUUGUAAGGUUGUAGGUAAGGCCUAGGCUUUGGGAAUUGAAGUGAGAAGCUGAUGGAUUUGCAGAGAUGCUAAUAUGUGUAUGUGUAUGAAGUAAUUGAAUUUGUGUUUGUGUGUGUGAGCUUCUCAGCUGUGAAGAAGAUGGUGCCAGUUGGGUUUUUUUUUUUCAAAAAAAUCUUUGAUGGCCUUGGCUAUGAGGUAAGUCAAGGGACCAAUAAAACCUUUGACAUUGUUUUCUCACGGAAUAUGUGCUUUGAUUUGGUCUUAUAACUUUGCAUGCACUAGUUUUGUUUUUAUU
rnacentral:lncRNA from 1 species